rnacentral:rRNA from 1 species
CAGCGCCACGAGUGGCAUACACAUUUAUUGGGCCUAAAGCGUCCGUAGCCGGUUUAAUAAAUUCUUUGUGAAAUCGUCAGGCUUAACUUGACGACGUGCAGAAGACACUGUUAGUCUUGAGACAGGGAGAGGUUAAAGGUAUUACGGGGGGAUUGGUAAAAUGAUAUAAUCCUCGUAGGACCACCAGUCGCGAGGGCGUUUAACCAGAACUGAUCUGACAGUGAGGGACGAAAGCCAGGGGAGCAAACCGGAUUAGAUACCCGAGUAGUCC